UACGGAGGGUGCAAGCGUUAUCCGGAUUCACUGGGCUUAAAGGGUGCGUAGGCGGGCAGGUAAGUCAGUGGUGAAAUCUCCGGGCUUAACUCGGAAACUGCCAUUGAUACUAUCUGUCUUGAAUACCGUGGAGGUUAGCGGAAUAUGUCAUGUAGCGGUGAAAUGCUUAGAUAUGACAUAGAACACCAAUUGCGAAGGCAGCUGGCUACACGAAUAUUGACACUGAUGCACGAAAGCGUGGGGAUCAAACAGG
rnacentral:rRNA from 1 species